rnacentral:rRNA from 1 species
AGCGAACGCUGGCGGCAGGCUUAACACAUGCAAGUCGAACGGGCACCUUCGGGUGUCAGUGGCAGACGGGUGAGUAACACGUGGGAACGUACCCUUCGGUUCGGAAUAACUCUGGGAAACUAGAGCUAAUACCGGAUACGCCCUUUUGGGGAAAGGUUUACUGCCGAAGGAUCGGCCCGCGUCUGAUUAGCUAGUUGGUGGGGUAACGGCCUACCAAGGCGACGAUCAGUAGCUGGUCUGAGAGGAUGAUCAGCCACACUGGGACUGAGACACGGCCCAGACUCCUACGGGAGGCAGCAGUGGGGAAUAUUGGACAAUGGGCGCAAGCCUGAUCCAGCCAUGCCGCGUGAGUGAUGAAGGCCUUCGGUCGUAA